AUGCCCAUACCACGUUGAAAACACCAGUUCUUGUCAUAACACCAAGUUAAGCAAUGUCCGGCCUGGUCAGUACUUGGGAGGGUGACCACCUGGGAACACCGGGUGCUGUAGACU